UACGUAGGGGGCAAGCGUUGUCCGGAAUGACUGGGCGUAAAGGGAGUGUAGGCGGCCUUUUAAGUUAUAUGUGAAAGCCCCCGGCUUAACCGAGGAACUGCAUAUAAAACUGGAGGGCUGGAGUGCAGGAGAGGUAAGCGGAAUUUCUAGUGUAGCGGUGGAAUGCGUAGAUAUUAGGAAGAACACCGGAGGCGAAGGCGGCUUACUGGACUGUAACUGACGCUGAGGCUCGAAAGCGUGGGGAGCAAACAGG
rnacentral:rRNA from 1 species